UACGUAGGGCGCAAGCGUUAUCCGGAAUUAUUGGGCGUAAAGAGCUCGUAGGCGGUUUGUCGCGUCUGCCGUGAAAAGUCCGGGGCUCAACUCCGGAUCUGCGGUGGGUACGGGCAGACUAGAGUGAUGUAGGGGAGACUGGAAUUCCUGGUGUAGCGGUGAAAUGCGCAGAUAUCAGGAGGAACACCGAUGGCGAAGGCAGGUCUCUGGGCCGUAACUGACGCUGAGGAGCGAAAGCAUGGGGAGCGAACAGG
rnacentral:rRNA from 1 species